GCAGCCAUCAUUUAAAGAAAGCGUAAUAGCUCACUGGUCGAGUCGGCCUGCGCGGAAGAUGUAACGGGGCUAAACCAUGCACCGAAGCUGCGGCAGCGAACGUAUCACUUAAAGCGAUUCAGCGGGUUACGAUUGACGGAGCGAAGCGACGUCAAAGCGUAUACAAAGUCGAGUCGGUUUAAGGAUACGUUCGUUGGGUAGGGGAGCGUUCUGUAAGCCUGUGAAGGUGGCCUGUGAGGGUUGCUGGAGGUAUCAGAAGUGCGAAUGCUGACAUAAGUAACGAUAAAGCGGGUGAAAAGCCCGCUCGCCGGAAGACCAAGGGUUCCUGUCCAACGUUAAUCGGGGCAGGGUGAGUCGACCCCUAAGGCGAGGCCGAAAGGCGUAGUCGAUGGGAAACGGGUUAAUAUUCCCGUACUUGGUGUUACUGCGAAGGGGGGACGGAGAAGGCUAUGUUGGCCGGGCGACGGUUGUCCCGGUUUAAGCGUGUAGGCUGGUUUUCCAGGCAAAUCCGGAAAAUCAAGGCUGAGGCGUGACGACGAGGCACUACGGUGCUGAAGCAACAAAUGCCCUGCUUCCAGGAAAAGCCUCUAAGCAUCAGGUAACAUCAAAUCGUACCCCAAA
rnacentral:rRNA from 1 species